AUCCCCGUGGCGCAAUCAGUUAGCGCGUUCGGCUGUGAACUGGAAAGUUGGUGGUUCGAUCCUACCCAGGGAUG
rfam:Nomascus leucogenys chromosome 12, whole genome shotgun sequence.